rnacentral:lncRNA from 1 species
AGUUACCAAGUUCCCUCAGAUGAAGGAAGGGAGAACCCUAAUCUGAAGAGGGGAGGUCUGAAGUGGACAGGAACAGUAUCAAGGAGACCACAGGAGGCAAAACAUUAAAAGUUGAAGAAACAGCAUAAAUAACAGAAGACUGAAACUAAGCUGAUUGGAUCAAGGACAGACACCUGACCAAGGACAGUCACGCUGUGCUUUAUGUCCCGGCAGAAAAAGGCUCUGCUAUUGAGAAUCAGUGACAAGGUGGAUGUAGCGAUGCGGGGAGAAGCCUCUCAUUUCAAGAUUUCUGGUUCUGUAUUUUAAACCAUGGAGUUCGCAAGAACAAAAUUGAUUGGAAGCCUAUCAAAGUUCGAGAAUGGUGUUUUUAGAAAUAAGCCAAGCCUUAGAAGGAGGGAUGAGUUUCAGGCUUAAACCAACACAGCAGGGCAUCUUAUCUUCCUCUGCAAAGUCCAGGCCCGAUACAAAGGAUGCUAAGAAUAAAUUUAACAAAAAAUAUACACAACCUGUAUGAAGGAAAAAACACAAACCAACCAACGAAAUGAAGGGCCUAAACUAAUAGAAUGAAUGGAGAGUCAUGACAUGUCUUUUUGGAAAGACAGAUACUGUAAAGAUGUAAAUUUUCUGCAAACUAUUUGUAAGUAUAACACAGAGAUCCAUUUUGUAUUUGACAUGACAACAUAACUCUCAUUUAUUUGGAAGACUAAAUGUAGGAAUAUCCAGAAACAUUCUGAGAAAAAAAGAGAAACAAGUAGGAAUUUGCCUGU